UACAGGGCUAGGACCAGUCUCAAGUGA
rnacentral:piRNA from 1 species